GACGAACGCUGGCGGCGUGCUUAACACAUGCAAGUCGAACGGAAAGGCCCUGCUUUUGUGGGGUGCUCGAGUGGCGAACGGGUGAGUAACACGUGAGUAACCUGCCCUUGACUUUGGGAUAACUUCAGGAAACUGGGGCUAAUACCGGAUAGGAGCUCCUGCUGCAUGGUGGGGGUUGGAAAGUUUCGGCGGUUGGGGAUGGACUCGCGGCUUAUCAGCUUGUUGGUGGGGUAGUGGCUUACCAAGGCUUUGACGGGUAGCCGGCCUGAGAGGGUGACCGGCCACAUUGGGACCGAGAUACGGCCCAGACUCCUACGGGAGGCAGCAGUGGGGAAUAUUGCACAAUGGGCGGAAGCCUGAUGCAGCAACGCCGCGUGCGAGAUGACGGCCUUCGGGUUGUAAACCGCUUUCGCCUGUGACGAAGCGUGAGUGACGGUAAUGGGUAAAGAAGCACCGGCUAACUACGUG
rnacentral:rRNA from 1 species